AACUAAUCCCACUGACACCAAAGAACCCUUAAACAUUACUGAACAAUUCUAUAUAGCUAUAGAAGAUUUUAUGUUAAAACUAGUAACAAGAAGAAGAACUUCUCCUACAAUGCAAAUUUAAAUCAGAUAGGACACCCCACUGAUAAUUAACGCCUAUGAAUAAAAAUAGAAACCAAACAAGAAAACCCUACUAAACUAUGCGUUAACCUAACACUAGAGCAUUUCAGGAAAGAUUAAAAGAAAAAGAAGGAACUCGGCAAACAUUAACCCCGCCUGUUUACCAAAAACAUCGCCUCUUGAAUAAAUAUAAGAGGUCCAGCCUGCCCAGUGACCAUGUUCAACGGCCGCGGUAUCCUAACCGUGCGAAGGUAGCGUAAUCACUUGUUCUUUAAAUAAGGACUAGUAUGAACGGCACCACGAAGGUUAUACUGUCUCCUAUUUCUAAUCAGUGAAACUAAUCUCCCCGUGAAGAAGCGAGGAUAAAAAUAUAAGACGAGAAGACCCUAUGGAGCUUCAAACUACAAGGCACCUGCUAAAACAUCACCAAAUUCCAGAAGACACCCACACCCAAGCAAGAUGACCUCUAGUUUUAGGUUGGGGUGACCGCGGAGAAAAAAACAACCUCCACAUUGAAAGGAACCCACUCCUUAGCUAAGAGCAACGCCUCUACGCACCAAUAAAAAGACAUUAAUUGACCCAAUAUUUUGAUCAACGAACCAAGUUACCCUAGGGAUAACAGCGCAAUCCACUUCAAGAGCCCCUAUCGACAAGUGGGUUUACGACCUCGAUGUUGGAUCAGGGUAUCCCGGUGGUGCAGCCGCUACCAAAGGUUCGUUUGUU
rnacentral:rRNA from 1 species